GGUUACUAGAGGAAACUCUAGGAGGAAAUUAAUCGUUCUCUAUGCACCAUAUCAUUUCAAUUAUAGACAGUAAAUAAUGCACAAGGGUAUGAGGUCUCACACCAAAUUAUAGCAUAACAAUACUAGCUGGCUAUUCAUUUUUUGAUCAUCACCCAUCCUGUGAACUAUAAAAGAAGAUAUUAAGCUAAUCUGAUAUGAAAAUAAUCCAAGUACUUAUUUUCAAUGAGUAGUAUUUCUAAGGGGACACAGGCUGUCUCAAGUGCAGGUUAUAUACUUCAAAUACUUUUCUGAAGUUUUGGAAAGAGUGCAACUAAGUACAGAGAAUUAAUUAGGUCAUUUCCUGCUUCUUUUGCUAAAUCAUGAUCUUGGAUGACAACACAAUGGAAGACAGUUAUUCUGUCACAAUCAAAGAGAUAUUUGUAGACAAGAGCAGCUCUGGAUUUAAAUGUGCAUUCUUCUCCAAAGGGCGGAGACCCAGCGCAUGUGUUCCUUCUUCCACACUGCUACUGCUCAUUGAUCUGCUUUGCUGUCCCAUGAACCUCUUCCAGUGUUUCUGCGUCCUGUUCAGGAUGGAGAACUCAUAACCAUGUACAGAGGUCAGCACGAAGGAGCCGCUGGCUUCACAUCGUGCCACCACAAUGGUUUCCGUAAAAGCGGGUGGGGAAGGGGAGGGAGCAGAGAAAUAAUCCCAAAUAUUUAAAGUCAUGGCUACCAGGCUUGAUUCCUGGACUGUAACGGUUUGAAAAGUUAAUGAGUGAGUAAGUGAUGCCACUUCUAAAUGUUCUCCUUUAAAACUGGUUUUACAGACAGUUGUGCAGAACCUCUCUAGGCAGGACUAUGCAUUGCCAGUGGAACAAAACUACUGCAAAAGGUAAAGAAAAGGUCAAAUAAUUUGGCAUCAUUCUCUGCUGGGAAAUGCUUAGUAUAUAGUAACUGUUGUCAGCACUUGCGGGUGGGUGGUCUCUUGAGGAUGAAGGCUGCAUGGAAAUUCCCAUGUUUUGGGCAAAGAAACAAAAGGGACCUAUUGCCUUGUAAGACAUGUAGCCAAGAGGGGAGUGUCUCAGCUGACACUGCUGUGUGCGAUUGAACUGCAUGGUGCUAGUGAUGGAAGUGAAAAUAAAUUCAAGUACAGUACUGAGUGAACUAGGAAA
rnacentral:lncRNA from 1 species